UGCAUAGCCGUAAACCGACAGCCCAGCACAUUGGCUGUCCGCCCGGGUACUACAAGCACGAGCUUUAAACCCAAAGGACUUGACGGUGCUUUACAUCCCCCUAGAGGAGCCUGUCCUAGAACCGAUAACCCCCGUUAAACCUCACCUUUCCUUGCUCAUACCGCCUAUAUACCGCCGUCUCCAGCCUACCCUGUAAAGGACUCAUAGUAGGCAAAAUUGGCGUACCCCAGAACGCCAGGUCGAGGUGUAGCGUAUGGAAAGGGAAGAGAUGGGCUACAUUCAAUGAACCAAUGAAUACGAAUGAUUAAUUGAAACAUCAAUUUGAAGGAGGAUUUAGUAGUAAGUCGGGAAUAGAGAGCCCUACUGAAACUGGCCCUGAAUGCG
rnacentral:rRNA from 1 species